rnacentral:tRNA from 1 species
GCGGUCAUUGUAUAAAGGCUAUUACCCCAGCUUCCCAAGCUGGUGAUCGGAGUUCGAUUCUCCGUGGCCGCU